AUUGAACGCUGGCGGCAGGCCUAACACAUGCAAGUCGAGCGAGCGGCGGACGGGUGAGUAAUGUAUGGGGACUGCCCGAUAGAGGGGGAUAACUACUGGAAAUGGUGGCUAAUACCGCAUACUAUCGGAUAACCCAUAUGGGAUUAGCUAGUAGGUGGGGUAAAGGCUCACCUAGGCGACGACCUCUAGCUGGUCUGAUAGGAUGCUCAGCCACACCGGUACUGAGACCCGUCCCGGACUCCUACGGGGGCAGCAGUGGGGAAUAUUGCACAAUGUGCGCAAGCCUGAGGCAGCCAGGCCGCGUGUAUGAGGAAGGCCUUAGGGUUGUAAAGUAUUUUCGGUAGCGAGGCGUGAACUACAGAAGAAGCACCGGCUAACUCCGUGCCAGCAGCCGCGGUAAUAC
rnacentral:rRNA from 1 species